GCAUCAAUCAUAUUCUUCUGACCCCUCUGGGGACUAGUUUCUAUAACAGAAUGGAGAAUGAGCCAAUGUUGAUUUGUCUGG
ensembl:ncRNA C10C5.11 ncRNA